rnacentral:misc_RNA from 1 species
UGAAGAACGCAGCGAAAUGCGAUAAGUAAUGUGAAUUGCAGAAUUCAGUGAAUCAUCGAAUCUUUGAACGCACCUUGCGCCCUUUGGACAUUCCGAAGGGCAUGCCUGUUUGAGUAUCAUGAACACCUCAACUCUCACGGCUUGUCCGUGAUGAGCUUGGACUUUGGGGGUCUUGCCGGCCUGUGGUCGGCUCCUCUCAAAUGGAUCAGCUUGCCAGUGUUUGGUGGCAUCACAGGUGUGAUAACUAUCUGCGCUUGUGGUUUUCCAUCAGAUAACCUUCAGUGAUAUGGAGGUUCGCUGGAGCUCACAAAUGUCUCUCCUUAGUGAGGACAGCUCUUUGAACGUUUGAUCUCAAAUCAGGUAGGACUACCCGCUGAACUUAAGCAUAUCAAUAAGCGGAGGA